UGAGUUUGAGCAAACUCUGGGAGAUGGUGAAGGACAGGGAAGCCUGGCGUGCUGCAGUCCAUGGGGUAGCAAAGAGUUGGACACGAAUGAGUGACUGAACAACACUUUGUUAACAGAUUUUGCUUCUAUUUCAUAAGAUGCUUGGUUAUGAAAGCAUGACGAUGUAAACUUCUGCAAUGGCCAGGAAGGAUCACCAGGUUUUCAGGACAAAUCCAGGAAUGGUGGCCAGUCUGAAUUUGAAAAGCCUCCAGGAUGGAGCUGGGGCUUUGGGGAGAGGCCAGAGGAGUUGAAAAUGCUGAUAUGGAAGUCAGAGGGAGGAGAGAAGAGCAGGAGAGACCAGAGAGGAAAGGUCUGUAAGACUCACCCCAGAAAGACUCGUAACCAGUGCUUUUCAGCAAGGGUAGUGAGUUCUUUAAGGAUAGAUGCUGUGAAAGUGCUGCACUCAAUAUGCCAGCAAAUUUGGAAAACUCAGCAGUGGCCACAGGACUGGAAAAGAUCAGUUUUCACUCCAGUCCCAAAGAAAGGCAAUGCCAAAG